GCUUACGGCCAUACCAACCUGGCUAUGCCCGAUCUCGUCUGAUCUCGGAAGCUAAGCAGGUUUGGGCCUGGUUAGCACUUGGAUGGGAGACCGCCUGGGAAUACCAGGUGCUGUAAGCU
ensembl:rRNA 5S_rRNA 5S ribosomal RNA